AACGCGAAGAACCUUACCUGGCCUUGACAUGCAUUGUGUCGUCGGUGAAAGCCGGCUAGCGUAGCAAUACGCGCUUUGCACAGGUGCUGCAUGGCUGUCGUCAGCUCGUGUCGUGAGAUGUUGGGUUAAGUCCCGCAACGAGCGCAACCCUUGUCUCAUGUUGCCAGCGGGUAAUGCCGGGGACUCGUGAGAGACUGCCGGGGUCAACUCGGAGGAAGGUGGGGAUGACGUCAAGUCAUCAUGCCCCUUAUGUCCAGGGCUUCACACAUGCUACAAUGGCCGGUACAAAGGGCUGCGAUGCCGUGAGGCUUAGCGAAUCCUUUAAAGCCGGUCUCAGUUCGGAUCGGGGUCUGCAACUCGACCCCGUGAAGUCGGAGUCGCUAGUAAUCGCAGAUCAGCAACGCUGCGGUGAAUACGUUCCCGGGCCUUGUACACACCGAGACGUA
rnacentral:rRNA from 1 species